rnacentral:lncRNA from 1 species
CCCAGAAUGUCCUUCUAGACGGGAUAAAUGUAAGGAUUCGAAGAUCUUAAGCCUUAAGUUAGCUUCUUUGCCUACAAAAAUCUUCUCUUCAAACCUGAUAACUCAUUAAGUAAAUUUAGGCUACACCACAGGUGUUGUAAUUAGUUCAGCUAUCAGCUGUAAUGCUACAUGAUCAUGCUCAUAACUCAACUCUAUCUCUUUCAUCCAUGUAGGUUCCAUAGUAGAGAUAGGAUAGAGUUAGAUCAUUCCUCUUGU